UACGUAGGGGGCAAGCGUUGUCCGGAAUCAUUGGGCGUAAAGAGCGCGUAGGCGGUCCGGUAAGUCGGUUGUGAAAACUGGGGGCUCAACCCUCAGAGGCCGACCGAUACUGUCGGGCUAGAGUCCGGAAGAGGCGAGUGGAAUUCCUGGUGUAGCGGUGAAAUGCGCAGAUAUCAGGAGGAACACCGGCGGCGAAGGCGGCACUCUGGGCCGGUACUGACGCUGAGGAGCGAAAGCGUGGGUAGCAAACAGG
rnacentral:rRNA from 1 species